AGUGAACGCUGGCGGUAUGCCUAAUACAUGCAAGUCGAACGCCAGCACAGUAAGUUCUUUCUCUUACGGGUUGCGAGUGGCGGAAGGGUCAGGUAUACAUCGGAAUCUACUUCUUCGUGGGAGAUUUCGUAGGGAAACCUACGCUAACAUCGCAUACGAUCUACGGGUGAAUGCACGGGAUCUUCGCACUUUGCGCGCUUCAAUGUGCAGAUGUGUUAUUUGAUCGUUGGCGGGGUAAAGGCCCACCACGACGCCACUCCGUAGCUGGUCCCUGAGGAUGUUCGGCAACACUGGAACUGGGACACGGUCCAGACUCCUACGGGAGGCAGCAGAGGGGAAUAUUGGACAAGGGGCGCAAGCCGGACCCAGCCAUACCGCGUGGGUGAGGAAGGUCUUCGGGUGGUAAAGCCCUUUUGUUGGGAAAGAAAAGCAGCAGAGUAAAACCCCCCUGUUCUGACGGUACCCAAAGAAUAAGCACCGGCUAACUUCGUG
rnacentral:rRNA from 1 species